ensembl:lncRNA
CGGAUGAGCAUUGUGAUCCUUUGCAACCCAGGCCAUUCUAGGAUUCUAUGAUUAUGGCUCCCCAUAGAUCCCUUAUGGCACCCUAUGGAUCCCUAUGGGUUCUCUGGGCAGCCUGGUCUAGUGGCUGGUGACCCUGCACACAGCAGGGGGUUGGAAGGAGAUGAGCACUGCGGACCUUUUCAACCCAAGCCAUUCAAUGAUUCUAUGAUUCUAUGGGUCCCUAUGGCACCUCUCUUCACUUUUCACGAUCUCCUCGGACUCUCCUUCUCCCCCAGCACUACUCACAACACGUGCCUCUAAGCCCACCAAGCAGCCAUCUCCCACCUGGCACAAGUUCCCUGCCACAAAUUCCGAGCACCCAGCCCAAAGCAGAGGAGCAGGAAUGGACCUCCCCAGCCCCUGCCCACCGCUUCGCACCGCCAUUCAGGUACCCCAGAGCUCUGAACUUCUCCUACCUUCCCAGGUGUGUCGGGUCGUUCUCUCAGCUGGUUCUGUGCUGCCCUGGACGUGCCUGCAGCCUGAUUCACGGGCACCUCCGAGCCUGCAGGAUCAAGCUCCACCCAGGGCAGAGGACCUUGCAGAAGAUGCAGUCUGUGCUCUGGUUACCAUGCAGUCUAAAUAGAAAAGCAGAGAAAAGAGGAGUGAGAAUUAAAGAAGAAUGAGUUUGGAGGGGCCUGGGUCGGGGGAAGGGCUGCAGAAAGAAGAAAUUGGCUCUUUAAAGGUAAGUGAGGGAUGUUUUGUUGCUCUUGUCAGAUAGAGCUGCAUCUCUGUGACACCAUGUCCCUAAUGGGGCAGAAGGAUUUUCUGGGGCCUGUUACAUUGUGGGGUGGAAUUACCAGGUCACAGCCUGAACCAAAGGUUGAGCACCAAAUGAGAAGGCACAGCUAACCCAGGGAGCUCAGGUGCAAGCAACGCACCUGGAGCCUGGAUCCACCCCUCCUCACCCUCAUUUAGGGGCUGGCAGCCCAGGGAACAGCAUCUCCUAAGAAUGUGGCAUAGGGACAUGAUCAGGCUUUAAUUUGAGCUGAACGUCUGAUUGCAGCUCUGUGUGUUCUGUUUGGAAGUUUACAGGUAUUCAGCGUGAUUGCGGCUUACAGCAAACCAAGUGGUGCAGCUGGUCAGACAGAACGGCCUCUCCUCCCCAUCCUGACUUCCCAUUCCCUCUGAAGCUUACAGCCAUCAGUUGUAGCACCCUGUCCUGUGGUUUGUCCCAUUGAUUUUCAGUGAUAGAAACUACUUUGUAGCUCUUUUGCUGCAUGGUGGCUUCCGACUCUUCCUGAUUGUUACCCAUGCUCUGGUACUGAGCCACACCAUUUGGGCCAUUGGCCACGUCACAUUUUGGAUGAAUCUGCCCUGAUAUUCCAUGCUGUACCUUGUAGGGGUUUCACAGAUGUUUGCUUCCCUGUUGGUUCCUAUUACACCAGCAGCUCCCAUCUCAGACUUCAUUAAGCACACAGAGGCAGGAAAAUGACCGGUGUGUUUGCUGGAUUAUGGGUUUGCUAAUAACGAGAACCAAAGUUUAGAAACUGCAGACUUCGCACGGGGCAAAUGGAACAACUCGAGGUUCUAAAACGUAAAGUAAACUUUAUUAUCCUUGAACCACAAAAUAGAUUUCUUUGGUUGUACAAAUGUCACUAGUUACAGUCUUGAUGCGCUAAUUAA